AGGAGGCUCGUUAUUCUUGGGGGAAGGCUUUGCUUUCAGAUGGAUAGUUAAAAGAAAAUCAAACACUGGAGUGUUUAGUACUUUGGGAUUCAGACUAUUUCAAGCAACUUUUGUUUUGGGAUCACAUGAAAGCUUUGAUUGUAAUAAAAUAAACAAACCCGUUGGCUCUACAAAAAUCCUCAAAACCUUUUGCUAAGUUCCAACUUCCAUGACAGAUUUUUCUCACCAAAAGAAUAAAAUUUAUCUUGAGUUGAGUCCAAUACUUGAAUCUUGAAACACGGUUUAUGUUCUUUUGAGCCCUCAACAACUAUUUUAAAAUGGCCGAUGGAAACGAGAAUCAAGCUCCUGAAAAGCUUCAGGUAAGUGUCCACGACACCAAAAACUUAGAUCCAAAGAUCUUUCAUUGUUCUGGUUUUUAAUGUAAAACCAAAAAAUCUUGUUUUUAUUUUUUAAACGAAAAAAUUUGUUUUAUGUCUGAAGUUUAUAAGAAAAUAAAUAAAACAGGGGAAGUUUCAAGCAAAGGUCAUAUGUUGUAUUCUUGGAAUCGGAGGUCUCGCUUCUUGGAACAGUCUGCUCACUAUCGCAGACUACUACUACAAAGUUUUUCCGGUUAGGUUUUUGUUCGGUCAAUUCUGUUUUGGUUAUCUAAUAAGAAAAAGUUGAAAAGUUUUUAUGUUUUUUUGUAGGAUUAUCAUCCGUCAAGGGUACUAGUACUUGUAUACCAGCCCUUUGCGCUUGGAACAAUUGUGAUUCUUGCAUACCACGGAAACGUAACCUGAUUGGUUAUAUUAUUUUCACAAUAUCCACACUAUUGCUAAUUGUUGUAAGUUAAAACCUAAUGUCUCUUUUAAUCUUACAAUAAAGAAAGUGAAGACUUUUGUGAACUACAAGUGAAUUUAAUUUGACUAUGGACUCAAUAUUCUUCUUAUAAACUGUUUUUGGUAUAAACUUAAAAACAGUUGGAUUUGACUACAAGAGGACGUGGUGGAGUCGGACCUUAUAUCGGUUUAUGCGCAAUUGUUGCUUCUUUUGGCCUCGCGGAUGCUACUGUUCAAGGAGGAAUGAUCGGUGAUUUAUCUUUGAUGUGCCCUGAACUAAUCCAGUCAUUCAUGGCUGGUCUGGGUGUUGCUGGUGCUCUAACCUCAGCUUUUAGGCUAAUGACUAAAGCAGCCUUUGAGAACUCAAACGACGGUUUACGUAAAGGAGCAAUGAUAUUCUUAGCAAUCUCAGCAUUCAUACAGUUUCUCUGUGUGAUGCUUUACGCAUAUGUGUUCCCUAAACUCCCCAUUGUAAAGUAUUAUCGAAGAAAAGCCGCUUCUGAAGGAUCUAAAACUGUUACUGCUGAUCUUGUUGCUGCUGGUAUCAAAAAUCAAUCAUAUUUUGGUAAAUUCAUAUAUUUCAAAAAUUUAUCCUUCUUGAUUUUUUUAUUUUUUUUAAUUGAUUCUUUUCUAGAAAUAUUCUUCACCCUUAUAUUUGGUAAAUUCAGAUUCAUCAAGAAUCUAUCUUUCGUGAUUCUCUUUUUUAAAUUUUUAAUUCUUAUUUUUAGGAAUAUUCU